rnacentral:lncRNA from 1 species
AGAGAUUCGGCUCUGGAGGAAAAGAAGAAAAAGAAAAAGUUAAAGAGAAGAGGAGAAAAGAAAGAAGAGGAGAAUGGUCAGCAAACGGCAUAACUUUCCCCCUCAUACCGAAUUUAUACUGGCACUUAACCUAGCCGAAUUUUCCCAUGCUAGAAGCCCUUGGUCGGCCAACUCUUGCUCCUUGAUCAGCUCCUAAAUCUUCUCCUUUAUCAGCUCCUAAAUCCUCUCCC